UACAGAGGUGGCAAGCGUUGUUCGGAAUUACUGGGCGUAAAGGGCGAGUAGGCGGCCUUCUAAGUCAGACGUGAAAUCCCCCGGCUUAACCUGGGAACUGCGUCUGAUACUGGGAGGCUUGAGUAUGGGAGAGGGAUGUAGAAUUCCAGGUGUAGCGGUGAAAUGCGUAGAUAUCUGGAGGAAUACCGGUGGCGAAGGCGGCAUCCUGGACCAUUACUGACGCUGAGGAGCGAAAGCGUGGGGAGCGAACAGG
rnacentral:rRNA from 1 species